rnacentral:rRNA from 1 species
AUUAAACGCUGACGGCAUGCCUUACACAUGCAAGUCGAACGGCAGCACGGGGGCAACCCUGGUGGCGAGUGGCGGACGGGUGAGUAAAGCAUCGGAACGUAUCCUGGAGUGGGGGAUAACGUAGCGAAAGUUACGCUAAUACCGCAUAUUCUGUGAGCAGGAAAGCAGGGGAUCGCAAGACCUUGCGCUCUGGGAGCGGCCGAUGUCGGAUUAGCUAGUUGGUGGGGUAAAGGCCUACCAAGGCGACGAUCCGUAGCGGGUCUGAGAGGAUGAUCCGCCACACUGGGACUGAGACACGGCCCAGACUCCUACGGGAGGCAGCAGUGGGGAAUUUUGGACAAUGGGCGCAAGCCUGAUCCAGCCAUGCCGCGUGAGUGAAGAAGGCCUU